rnacentral:rRNA from 1 species
GGGGGCAAUUUUGGGAUCUGUGGGGGCAAGCCUGAUGCCAGCAAUGCCGCGUGCAGGAUGAAGGCCUUCGGGUUGUAAACUGCUUUUGUACGGAACGAAAAGGCUCUGGUUAAUACCUGGGGCUUAUGACGGUACCGUAAGAAUAAGCACCGGCUAACUACGUGCCAGCAGCCGCGGUAAUACGUAUGGUGCAAGCGUUAAUCGGAAUUACUGGGCGUAAAGCGUGCGCAGGCGGUUUUGUAAGACAGGCGUGAAAUCCCCGGGCUCAACCUGGGAAUUGCGCUUGAGACUGCAAGGCUGGAGUGCGGCAGAGGGGGAUGGAAUUCCGCGUGUAGCAGUGAAAUGCGUAAAUAUGCGGAGGAACACCGAUGGCGAAGGCAAUCCCCUGGGCCUGCACUGACGCUCAUGCACGAAAGCGUGGGGAGCAAACAGGAUUAGAUACCCUGGUAGUCCACGCCCUAAACGAUGUCAACUGGUUGUUGGGUCUCUUCUGACUCAGUAACGAAGCUAACGCGUGAAGUUGACCGCCUGGGGAGUCGCCC